rnacentral:rRNA from 1 species
AACGAACGCUGGCGGCAUGCCUAACACAUGCAAGUCGAACGAGACCUUCGGGUCUAGUGGCGCACGGGUGCGUAACGCGUGGGAAUCUGCCCUUGGGUUCGGAAUAACAGUCAGAAAUGACUGCUAAUACCGGAUAAUGUCUUCGGACCAAAGACUUAUCGCCCAGGGAUGAGCCCGCGUAGGAUUAGCUAGUUGGUGAGGUAAAGGCUCACCAAGGCGACGAUCCUUAGCUGGUCUGAGAGGAUGAUCAGCCACACUGGGACUGAGACACGGCCCAGACUCCUACGGGAGGCAGCAGUGGGGAAUAUUGGACAAUGGGCGAAAGCCUGACGCAGCGACGCCGCGUGGGUGAUGAAGGCCUU